UCUAAAUUUACAAAUAAAUCAAAUUUCCGGUUUUUUCGUUUUGGAUUAAUUUUAAGCAUAAAGUGUAAAGUUAAGUUAAGCAUAAAGUUUUCGUCAGUUACUGUGUUUCCUUCAAUCCCGUGGCAUGGAACAACAGAUUACGCGACAAUUACACGGCACACAAAAAAAACUGGUGGUUUGUAGCUUUGUUUUAAGAAAGUCAUUAAACUGAAACUUCGUUGUACACACACACACACACUAAGUCAUGCUCAUGGAUGAGGACCAUCUGCCACACCUUGUAAAAGCGAUCAACACUGGACACCCGCAGACCGCAAUGGUCCAUCAACACACAUCUAUUUUUGGCAUCAUCGAAAGUUGCUUACGUUAUCAGCACUAGACACCGGGAAGCAGCAGCACAACAGACAUCAAGAUUAGAAUCAUGUAAAUAACACUCGGAUAUUGAGUUGCAGUCUCAGAGGAUACAUCAACGGAUUAUUCCAGACACGAAUUACACAACGGGGAAGGAAGGUUGUUCGACUUCCCCUCACACAACACAAUUGGAUACAACCUUCGACGACCUGGACACGGCUUUGACUUGAAGUUUGGGAUGUGUGGAGUAGGCCUACUGGGGAUACCACGUUAAAAAAAACGCGCCUAGAACUCUACCAAAUGUUGGUGGUGUGGAAAAGAGUUCAAAGCAUUAAUGUUCGAGUAAAUAAAUAAUGACAGAUAAAGUUAAACGAAAAGUGAUUAAAUUACUUUGAAUGCAGAUAGCUUCAGAGCUUCCCCAUGCC